rnacentral:rRNA from 1 species
CGCUAUCACUCCUACGGGAGGCAGCAGUGGGGAAUCUUGGACAAUGGGCGCAAGCCUGAUCCAGCCAUGCCGCGUGAGUGAUGAAGGCCCUAGGGUCGUAAAGCUCUUUCGCCAGGGAUGAUAAUGACAGUACCUGGUAAAGAAACCCCGGCUAACUCCGUGCCAGCAGCCGCGGUAAUACGGAGGGGGUUAGCGUUGUUCGGAAUUACUGGGCGUAAAGCGCGCGUAGGCGGACUGGAAAGUUGGGGGUGAAAUCCCGGGGCUCAACCCCGGAACUGCCUCCAAAACUCCCAGUCUUGAGUUCGAGAGAGGUGAGUGGAAUUCCGAGUGUAGAGGUGAAAUUCGUAGAUAUUCGGAGGAACACCAGUGGCGAAGGCGGCUCACUGGCUCGAUACUGACGCUGAGGUGCGAAAGUGUGGGGAGCAAACAGGAUUAGAUACCCUGGUAG